rnacentral:snRNA from 1 species
AAAGUUUUGUGGCAGGGAAGACACCAUGAUCACGAAGGUGGUUUUCCCAGAGUGAGGCUCAUCCAUUGCACUCUGGGUGUGCUGACCCUUGCAAUUGACUGCAUAGUUUGUGGUGGUUAAGAAGAUAC